rnacentral:rRNA from 1 species
UACGUAGGUGGCGAGCGUUGUCCGGAUUUAUUGGGCGUAAAGCGCGCGCAGGUGGUGCGGUAAGUCUGUCGUGAAAUCUCCCGGCUCAACUGGGAGGGUGCGGUGGAGACUGCCGGACUGGAGGCACUCAGAGGCCGGUGGAAUUUCCGGUGUAGUGGUGAAAUGCGUAGAGAUCGGGAGGAACACCAGUGGCGAAGGCGGCCGGCUGGGGGUGACCUGACGCUGAGGCGCGAAAGCGUGGGGAGCGAACCGG